GAUGAACGCUGGCGGCGUGCCUAAUACAUGCAAGUCGAGCGAAUGGAUUAAGAGCUUGCUCUUAUGAAGUUAGCGGCGGACGGGUGAGUAACACGUGGGUAACCUGCCCAUAAGACUGGGAUAACUCCGGGAAACCGGGGCUAAUACCGGAUAACAUUUUGAACCGCAUGGUUCGAAAUUGAAAGGCGGCUUCGGCUGUCACUUAUGGAUGGACCCGCGUCGCAUUAGCUAGUUGGUGAGGUAACGGCUCACCAAGGCAACGAUGCGUAGCCGACCUGAGAGGGUGAUCGGCCACACUGGGACUGGGACACAGCCCAGAAUCCUACGGGAGGCAGCAGUAGGGAAUCUUCCGCAAUGGACGAAAGUCUGACGGAGCAACGCCGCGUGAGUGAUGAAGGCUUUCGGGUCGUAAAACUCUGUUGUUAGGGAAGAACAAGUGCUAGUUGAAUAAGCUGGCACCUUGACGGUACCUAACCAGAAAGCCACGGCUAACUACGUGCCAGCCGCCGCUGUAA
rnacentral:rRNA from 1 species